AGAAUCAACGCUGGCGGCGUGCCUAACACAUGCAAGUCGAACGCAAGGGUCCCGCAAGGGACCUGAGAGUGGCAAACGGGUGAGUAACGCGUGGGCGACCUACCUCUGAGUGGGGGAUAACCUUCCGAAAGGAGGGCUAAUACCGCAUGACAUCCCGUGUUUGGAUACACGGACAUCAAAGCCGGGGAUCGCAAGACCUGGCGCUUGGAGAGGGGCCCGCGUCCGAUUAGCUAGUUGGUGGGUAAUGGCUCACCAAGGCUCCGAUCGGUAUCCGGCCUGAGAGGGCGACGGACACGACUGGGACUGAGACACGGCCCAGACUCCUACGGAGGCAGCAGUGGGAAUUGUCGCAAUGGGCGCAAGCCUGACGACGCAACGCCGCGUGGAGGACUGAAGACCUUCGGGUCGUAAACUCCUUUCGACCGACGAUGAAUUCCUAGCCGACCCAAUACGUCGGCAGGUGACAGUAUCGAGGAACGAAGCCCCGGCUAACGUCCGUGACCACGAGCCGCGGUAACG
rnacentral:rRNA from 1 species